rnacentral:lncRNA from 1 species
UCGGUUCAAUUUUUUUAAAUAUUUUUAUUGAGACAUACACGAACAUAUAGAGGACAGGACAACAUGACUUUUGUUUAGACUUUCAAUAAUUAUUAAACAACAACGAAACUCAUUAUAUUUAAACAAUAAUUUUUUAUUUAAAAUAUAAAAAUUAAAUUAGACAAAAAUGAAAUUAAAAAAACAAUAUAAAAAUAUUAUAAUGAAAAAAAAAUAAAGGAGAUGAAAAAUUAAAGAAAAUGAAAAUAAAAGAAUAGAAGAUAUGAGAAAUUAGAGAAGAAGAGGGGUAAAAUAAAAUAAAAUUGGAAGAAAAGAACAAUAACAUAAAAAUGAAAAGAUUAAAAAAAACAUAAGAAAUGGGAUAUUAAAGAAGAAGAAAUAAAAUAUAUGUGACAAAGAAAGUGAGAAGAAUUUACGAUAAUAUUAAGAGAGAU